AAUGAACGCUGGCGGCAUGCCUAACACAUGCAAGUCGAACGAAGGCUUCGGCCUUAGUGGCGCACGGGUGCGUAACGCGUGGGAAUCUACCCUUGGGUUCGGAAUAACUCAGAGAAAUUUGAGCUAAUACCGGAUGAUGUCGAAAGACCAAAGAUUUAUCGCCCAAGGAUGAGCCCGCGUAGGAUUAGCUAGUUGGUGGGGUAAAGGCCCACCAAGGCGACGAUCCUUAGCUGGUCUGAGAGGAUGAUCAGCCACACUGGGACUGAGACACGGCCCAGACUCCUACGGGAGGCAGCAGUGGGGAAUAUUGGACAAUGGGCGAAAGCCUGAUCCAGCAAUGCCGCGUGAGUGAUGAAGGCCUUAGGGUUGUAAAGCUCUUUUACCCGGGAUGAUAAUGACAGUACCGGGAGAAUAAGCUCCGGCUAACUUCGUGCCAGCAGCCGCGGUAAUAC
rnacentral:rRNA from 1 species